AGUGAACGCUGGCGAUAGGCCUAACACAUGCAAGUCGAACGGCAGCACAGUAAGAGCUUGCUCUUACGGGUGGCGAGUGGCGGGCGGGUGAGGAAUACAUCGGAAUCUACUUUUUCGUGGGGGAUAACGUAGGGAAACUUACGCUAAUACCGCAUACGACCUACGGGUGAAAGCAGGGGAUCUUCGGACCUUGCGCGAUUGAAUGAGCCGAUGUCGGAUUAGCUAGUUGGCGGGGUAAAGGCCCACCAAGGCGACGAUCCGUAGCUGGUCUGAGAGGAUGAUCAGCCACACUGGAACUGAGACACGGUCCAGACUCCUACGGGAGGCAGCAGUGGGGAAUAUUGGACAAUGGGCGCAAGCCUGAUCCAGCCAUACCGCGUGGGUGAAGAAGGCCUUCGGGUUGUAAAGCCCUUUUGUUGGGAAAGAAAAGCAGCAGGUUAAUACCCCGCUGUUCUGACGGUACCCAAAGAAUAAGUACCGGCUAACUUCGUG
rnacentral:rRNA from 1 species